CAUUAGCAUUGUUGUGAUGUUAGUUUAAACAAAUGGUCAGAUUUGGAAAAAAGCAGCCAAUUUAAAUGAUACAGGCAUAUUAAUAAUGUUAAUGAAG
rnacentral:SRP_RNA from 1 species